AUUGAACGCUGGCGGCAGGCCUAACACAUGCAAGUCGAGCGGAUGAAGGGAGCUUUCUCCUGGAUUCAGCGGCGGACGGGUGUGUAAUGCCUAGGAAUCUGCCUUGUAUUGUUUUAUAACGUCCGGAAACGGGCGCUAAUACCGCAUACGUCCUGAUGGUGAAAGUGGGGGAUCUUCGGACCUCACGCUAUCAUAUGAGCCUAGGUCGGAUUUGCUAGUUGGUUGGGUAAAGGCCUACCAAGGCGACGAUCCGUAACUGGUCUGAGAGGAUGAUCAGUCACACUGGAACUGAGACACGGUCCAGACUCCUACGGGAGGCAGCAGUGGGGAAUAUUGGACAAUGGGCGAAAGACUGAUACAGCAAUGGGGAGUGUGUGAAGAAGGUCUUCGGAUUGUAAAGCACUUUAAGUUGGGAGGAAGGGAAGUAAGUUAAUACCUUGAUGUAUUGACGUUAACAAAAGAAUAAGCACCGGCUAACUACGUG
rnacentral:rRNA from 1 species